UACGGGGGUGGCGAGCGUUACUCGGAUUUAUUGGGUGUAAAGGGCAGGUAGGUGUCCCAUCAAGUUAGAAGUGAAAUCCUGUGGCUCAACCACAGAACUGCUUUUAAAACUGAUGGGAUUGAGGAUAGAAGAGGAGAGCGGAAUUCUCGGUGUAAGGGUGAAAUCUGUAGAUAUCGGGAGGAACACCAGUGGCGAAAGCGGCUCUCUGGUCUAUCCCUGACGCUAAGCUGCGAAAGCUAGGGGAGCAAACAGG
rnacentral:rRNA from 1 species